rnacentral:rRNA from 1 species
UACAUGUGGGGCAAGCGUUGUUCGGAAUUACUGGGCAUAAAGGGCGCGUAGGUGGCUUGUUAAGUCAGGGGUGAAAGUUUUCGGCCCAACCGGAAAAUGGCCUUUGAUACUGGCGAGCUCGAGUGCGUGAGGGGUAACCGGAACGAGCAGUGUAGCGGUGAAAUGCGUAGAUAUUGCUCGGAAGGCCAACGGCGAAGGCAGGUUACUGGUGCGCAACUGACACUGAGGCACGAAAGCGUGGGGAGCAAACAGG